AAUGAACGCUGGCGGCGCGCCUAAUACAUGCAGGUCGAGCGAGAAGACGUAGCAAUACGUUUGUAAAGCGGCGAACGGGUGAGGAAUACAUGGGUAACCUACCCUCGAGUGGGGAAUAACUAGCCGAAAGGUUAGCUAAUACCGCGUACGCUCCUUGGACUUUGGUUCAGGGAGGAAAGCGAUACCGUGGGUAUCGCGCUCUUGGUUGGGCUCAUGUCCUAUCAGCUUGUUGGUGAGGAACGGCUCACCAAGGCUUCGACGGGUAGCUGGUCUGAGAGGACGAUCAGCCACACUGGCACUGCGACACGGGCCAGACUCCUACGGGAGGCAGCAGUAAGGAAUAUUGCGCAAUGGGCGAAAGCCUGACGCAGCGACGCCGCGUGGGGGAUGAAGGUCUUCGGAUUGUAAACCCCUUUCGGGAGGGAAGAUGGAACGAGCAAUCGUUCGGAC
rnacentral:rRNA from 1 species